rnacentral:misc_RNA from 1 species
GGUUUUUACCCAAGCCAAUACCCAGAAAGGGGCAACAGAGUGGAGCCAGCCAUAGCUCAAAGCAAGAUCAUCAAGAACAAAGACAGGUACCCUUCUUUUUCUUAUCCAACUAUUUUUAUUCCAUUCCAAUGAUUCGAUUGUUUUGUGUAAGACUGUCACAAACGAGGCACAGAGCAUCACCACUUACAUUUAGCAAUGGCUUUUUGAUCCCAACAUUUUCUCACAAACUCAUCACUAACCUCUCAAACUCUGCAUUCCCACAAUCUCCCACAAUCUCUUACCUCCAAAACUCAUGUGGGUUGUCCUUACAAGCAGCCAUUUCAGUCUCUAGAAAGCUACAAUUGGAAUCCACGGAGAACCCUGACCUAGUCCUGAACUUACUCAGAGCUCAUGGUUUGACUCAGAUCCACAUCAAGAAUUUAAUCAUUAAACGUCCAAUACUGCUUUUGGCUGAUUUAGACAACAACCUUAAGCCUAAUUUAGACUUGUUUAAAUCUUUGGGGUUUUCUGGCAGUAAUCUUGCCGAAAUGCUCAUCAAGGAUCCAAGAGUACUUGAAGUUGAUGCAGAGACAGUGGUUGAGUUCUUUAGAGAGAAUGGUUUUAGUAAAAAACAGAUAGUGACUUUGACCAUGAAGCGACCCUCAUUGUAUAUUUUCAAGUUACAUAAAACUUUUAAGCCGAAGUUGGAAUUUUUCAAGUCCUUGGGUUUUUCAGAGCUUGAUGUUGCAACCAUUUUGUCAGCAGAGCCUUACAUUUUGGAGAGGAGUCUUGAAAACCAAAUUAUACCCUGUAUUAAUGUACUUAGGCGUGUUGUUGGAAAUGAUAUGAUUGUCCAAAAAGUAAUAAGGGGAUGCCACCGGAUUCUUGAAUUUAAUGCGGAAAAGAUGCUCGAGCCAAACAUGUCACUGUUGGUAAACCAUGGGGUGCCAGAGUUCAUAAUAUCGAAGAUGUUCUUGUUUCAUCCAAGAUCAUUGCUGCUAAAGACUGAUAGAUUGAGUGAGAUUAUUAAUGAAGUUAAGAAAUUGGGUUUUAGCCCUACUAAUGUUCUAUUUGUAUUAGCUGUCCGUACCAUGGUGACAACAAACAAAAGACUCUGGGAGAAAAAGUUAGAAGCCUACGGAAGUUUUGGUUUAUCAAAGGAGGAAAUUAAUCUCGCAUUUAAGUUGCAACCCAUGUUUAUGAUUGUUUCAGAGAAGAAAAUAAGAAAAUCGAUGAAUUUCUUUGUGAACAAAUUGAAAAUGAAGCCUUCAGUGAUUUCUAAGAAUCCAAAUCUUAUACUUCUUAGCAUAGAGAAGAGGAUUAUACCUAGGUGUUCUGUUUUGCACAUUCUGAUGUCAAAGGAAUUGAUAAAGGAAGGUGUUAGCCUUAUUUAUAUGCUUAGAAUGACGGAGAAGAUGUUUGUGGAGAAAUUUGUGACCAAGUAUCAGAAUGUUGUUCCUGAAGUUGUUAAGGCGCAUCAAGGCAGGAUAGAAUUUCAAGGUUUUCCAAGAGAUUUGAAAAUGUGAGUGGUCAUGGAUCCCAAUAAAUGACUAGGUGAUAUCAAAUGGUUCUUAGCUUAUACUCCACUGUGAUUUGGAAGACAGGCUGUUUAUAUCAUUGGAAGGCAAUCUACCAUUUGGGGAUGGCUAUUAUUAGCCGUAAUGAAUAGCUGAAAGUGUGAGCUCAUUUAAAGGUCGUCUGGGGCAUCAUUAAUGACAAUUUGACCGUGAAUCCUUGAAUGAUUCAGAAGCCUGAGCAUAUUGGAGGACUGGCUGCUUAUCUUUGUUGUGCACACAUCAGUGGAAGCCAAUUGAUGAUGGGUAUAGAUACGUUCAAUUCACAUUAAUCAGAAUGGCAGCCUGUUGGCUCAAGCAUCGCAAUUUUAGGAAACUGAUUAAAGGAGAAAUCUUUCGGUAUUUGAUACUGGAAGAUUGAUACUUCAUUCUCUUGCCUUAUUUUCUUCAAUAUAUCAAAACGUUCAAGUUUAUGCAGGUGUGUCGAAUCUUCAUGUUAGUUUUAACUUGGAAAUGAAAGAUUAUUAGUGUUAUUCUGUUUCAUUAAGCUGGUGUGCAAGACAUUUUUCUUUCGCAUUUAUUUGAUUUUACUGAAGAUUCAUUUUCCAAUUUUUUGAUGCCAUCUUUUUGCUUUCUUAGCGUUUGGAAUUAAUUUGUUGGAUUCUUUCAAUUCAGAGGGACCUUUAAUGUCCUUGUAAAG